AUUCAAACUACCGAACGAGAAACCGUUCGGUAGUUUGCAUACGAAUUGGCUGCAGUGUGGAGGUCUCUGCGGUGUUUGCCUAACCGAGUGUCCAAUUUGGGUUCCAGACACUCGAUGGCAAAACACCUCUGUUCGGAGUUUUAAAAUGGCCGCCACCACGUGUUCGUCUCCCGAAUGGCAGCCACCCAGACAACAAAGAACCCACUACAUGAACUGCCAAUUACCCGUUUGCAACAGUGUUGCGAACAGUAAUUGGAGGCACACUUAUUACUGGGGUGGUCUGAUUGUUCGGUAGUUUCAUUCGCAUAAUACUGGAGUGAUU